ACUUAAAUAGCUUAUAUAGAGUUUAAUAUUGAAGAUAUUAAGGAAAUUGCAGAAUUUUUAAGUA
rnacentral:tRNA from 1 species